GGAAAGAUGGCAGAGCGGUUCAUUGCACCAAUUUUGAAAAUUGGCGUGUCCUUGCGGGCACCGGGGGUUCGAAUCCCUCUCUUUCCG
rnacentral:tRNA from 1 species